CGAUCAAAUUCUGGUUUGCCAAGUGCACAGUCAGCUUUGCAAACAGCCUUGGGGAAAUGACUGCACAUUGUGGUGAAGUAGUUCUAAAGUCCAGCGUGCUUCCUUGGAAACAAGCUGCAGGCAACCCCCCUCUGGAAUGGACUGAGGAACAUGAACAGGCCGUGUAAGAACUUAAAAGAGAUCCUGGUACAAGACCCUGCAUUAACUCUCCCUGGUAUCUCCAAGCCCUUUCAUCUUUAUGUCCAUGAAAAAAAGGACAUUGCCAAGGGAGUCCUGACUCAGACCCCGAGUCCCUGGAAAAGGCCCAUAGCUUACAUCUCAAAGAGACUGAAUCCUGUAGCCUCUGGGUGGCCCCCGUGUUUAAAAGCUAUCAUAGUCACUGAAAUUCUUGUAGAAGAAGCUGAUAAACUCAUGUUGGGACAGAUCCUAACUGUAACAGCUCCACACGCUGUGGAAGCUCUGCUGAGAGAUGCCACCAACUGGUGGAUGUCUAAUGCCCAUCUGACCCAGUACCAAUCCCUUCUUUUAGAUAAGAACAGACCGACUUUUGAUAAAUCACUGGCCAUUAAUCCCUGCUGCCAGUUGAUGACCCUGAGGAGUACAUCCAUGAAUGCCUAGAGAUGCUGGACAUCAUCCAAAUAUGUGACCUGACCUGAUAGACAUUCCUCUCACUACCAGAGAUAUGGAGGUCUCUAUAUGGAUGGCAGCAGCUUCAUUCAAGAAGGAACCACAUAUGUGGGGGUGGCAGUAGUCAUAGUCCAGAAGGAGGUCAUUUGGGCACAAGCCUUGCUGAGGGGCACAUCUGCCCAGAGAGCAGAAAUAAUUGCUCUGACACAGGCUUUAAGAUGGGCUGGAGGAAAAAAGGUAAACAUCUACACAGACAGCUGAUAUGCUUUUUCCAUGGCUCAUGUUCAUGGACAGAUAUAUAAACAGAGGGGGCUUACUUAUCUCAGAGGGAAAGACUAUCAAAAAUAAAAAUGAAAUUGUCUAAUUGCUGGAGGCCAUCUGUCUACCAACUGAACUAGCCAUAAUUCAUUGGACAGGAUAUCAAAAAGACAAAAAUCCCCAAACUCAAGAUAACAGCCAUGCAGAUCAAGUUGCCAAAAGAGGAUGCUCUUGGGGAACCCAAACCCUAGACUGUCCUGGAACUAUCUGCGGUCCCAGAGCCCCUACUCUGCUAUAAUGAAGAUAUUCCUGAGUACAAUCCAGAAGAGAUUAAGUCACAUUCUGACUUGGGGGCUCAGGAGAGCUGCAAUGAAUGAUGGAUCUUGCCUGAUGGAAGAAUGUGCAUGCCAAAGGUACUGGGCCAACUGUCUUGCAUCAUGCCAUGAACUUGUCACCUGAAGAUCUCAGAACUCAUCUCCCCCUCCAUGUCUGGCCACCUGGAUACUGAAAGAAACUUCAGAGCAGAGCAUUUCAGACCACUGCCUGACCUGUGCCCAGGUAAAUGCAAAGAAGGACAUACUUCCCACAGGUCAAUGGAGUCAAGGUAGAGUAGUACCCAGUGAAUUUUGGGAAUUGGACUUCACUGAAGUCAAGCCAGAAUUGUAAAGGCUACAAAUAUCUGCUGGUCAUUGUUGAUACUGUCACAGACUGGGUAGAGGCCUUUCCAUCCAGAAUAGAAACUGUAGAGAGCCGUGCACAGCCGCGCCUCAAAGAUGGCGCCGGUGUCCGGCUUCCGCCUUCCCGAUGGCAGGUGUUCUCUGGGAUAAACAGCUCCUUAUUUGGCUUGGGCGUGGAAUCUGGCUUGCUUGCGUAUGUCUGACCCUAUCGGCAUUGUCCACGUGGCACUACGGGGUUGGUUGCCCAGUGGCUAUAAAGGGCGUGGGCUGGCUUUCCCCGGAGUGAGAAGAUGGCUUUCCCCGGGGUCAGAAGAUUGUUCAAGGUUUCUGAAUAAACUGCUUGGAGAAGAGCCUGGUGUUGUGUCUUCCUUGCUGGUCGAGGUGGACUCGACAAGAAACAGCCCAAGUGAUAGCUAAGAAAUUCAUAAUGGAAAUUAUUCCCAGAUUUGGCCUCCACAUAUCUCUGGGAUCUGACAACAGCCUGGCCUUCACAGUUGAGUUAUCUUAAUUGCUCUCUAAAACUCUUAACAUAAAUUGGAAACUUCAUUGUAUGUAUCACCCUCAGAGUUCAGGAAAAGUAGAGAGAACGAAUGGAAAUUUAAAGGAGAUUUUAACUAAAUAUACUCUUGAAACUGGUAGUAAAUGGGUUGACCUCUUGCCUUAUGCCCUUCUCAGAGUCUGAUGUAUCCCCUAUCAAGAAAAGUUCAACCCAUAUGAAAUAGUCUAUGGGUGACCACCACCCAUGAUCUCUUGGCUACAUGCCGGACUAUUAUCAGAUUGCCUCACUCCAAUCUCUGAGUCCUUAAAAGGAAUGAAAUUAACUUUGGAUAAGAUUCUCCCUCAGGUUCCGGCUGCUCAACCUGCUGGGUACCACCCACCUGAUCACCCACUCCAGCCCAUGCUGUAUUAGUCCACCACUUCAAAACUGACCAGCUUGAGUCUAGAUGGAAAGGAUUCCUUACAUCACGAUUCUCUGGACUCCUACUGCUAUUAAAGUCACUAGUAUUUCUGCCUGGAUUCAUCACUCACACUUCAAGAAGGCACCCGAGGAACUCACAGAAGAGGAGCCCAACCCCCAGAGGUGGACAAUGACUGAAAAAGAACUGGUAAAAAUCAAACUUUUUAAGGUUUGACUGCCUAGUAUAACUUUGUGUUCUUCCUGUUGAAAUUUGCAUCACGAUUGCCCAAUGACUAACAGUUUUGUUGUUUUAUUUUCAACCUUUACAGACAGAACCUAAGUGCAUCUUGACAGGGGGAAAUAAGAGGCACUCUAUCAUAGGAAACACUCUGAUGUUGUCUUGCCAUGCAAAAGAGUGCUUUUAUCCCCCAGGUCCCAUAGUUUGGACAAAAGAAGGGGAACAGUCUUUAGCCAGAUGGAUAGAGGAUACCUGGGAUGGACUAAUCUAACUGGCCAAUCCCAGUGUAAUAACACAGACUUAGAAUAAUCAAAUAUUCUUUAAAGGGUUCUGAUAAUGGAAAUUACAGGUAUGCUAAAGUAAGAAGGGGAAGGGAGGAUUCGCUAAUCACUUCAAUUGAAUUUAACAUGCCCAGAGUAACCCAGUCUGUAACUAAUAAUGUGGAAUACAAUCUCUGGGUCCAUCUAGCACUAAAAAGCCAACAAGAAAACUCCUUCUGUAUCAGAGGAGAUCCCUCUAUUCCCUGGCUCUUAAAAAGAAAUUUGUAUGGAAUAGAGGUUUCUUCUGAAAAUUAUACAAUGAUAACAGAGGACAAACUGGAACAUGCCCCCUCUAAUGAUUUAAAAGCUGUGACUGAUGUUCCUGUUGAUAAUGUCUCUUUCCUCCUCUGUCUAUGUUUUGAUUGCACACAUGUCCCUUCUUAUUGUAAUUCCACUUCUCAUCACAUCCUCACACCCCCACACACCCCCACACCCCUGUAAGCAAUUGCCCUUAGGAUUUUUCUGUGAAAAUAAUUCUUAUUCUGCACUCCCAGGAGGAUAUAAGGGUUUUUGUGAGAUUGGCUAUGUUCUACCUAUUUUACUCAGCAAAUCUUUACAAUCUGUUAAUAGAACUACAAGAGCUCUUCCUGAAAAGUGUGAUGAUUCCUCACAUCUAUUAGAUCCCACUACAGUUGCUGCUACCCCAGCCUUUCUGUUACCUGUCCCAGGACAUGUUGUUGGACCACAAAGAGAGGUUUCUAAAACAGCCUGUCUAAUUUCAAAAACUACUAAUAUUACAGUAGAAAUAUUAGCAGAAAUGAAUCAAGAAAUGGGAGAACUGAGAAUAACUGUUCUUCAAAAUAGAGCUACUACAGGUUACCUAUUACUUAAACAUAAUCCUGGUUGUCAACAAUUUACUGGAAUGUGCUGUUUCAAUAUCUCUGAUUCUCUCAUACUAUUGACAACCAAAUUGAUGAUCUACAUAAAGAAAUAGGCAGAAUCUCUCAAACAAAUUGAGACUGGCCAAUAUGGCUAAGAUGUUUCUCCCCCUUCAUUGGCCACCUAAUACUAUUUCUACUAAUUACCAUAAUCAGGCCCUGUGCCCUCUAGUGCGUCACUAACUUGAUCACCCACCACAUACACAAUUCUAGAAUCAUUGCUGCUCGAUGAUAUUAUUAAGACAUCCCCCUAUCAAAGAUUUGACAGGGAAACACAAGUCAAGGGGGGAAUGAGGAACCUGCCUGACUCCAUUAUAAUGUAUUGUUAAAAGUAAGUUUCUAUUUACUGAGUUGAACCUGACCCUCCCCAACUCAUGACUUCGACUUGUUUUUGAGAAUACCCUUACACUCCAUGACCUUCCCUGAACCCUUCCUAAUCACAUGGUGACCACAUGAUUUUUUUGAAAAUUUUUCUAUAUUUCCUUACUGCCCCAUUGUCUCUCUUCUGUAAAACUACUCGUGGUUUUACUCCUUAAAAGGGGCCCCAGAAAUGGAUUCACUGCUGCUCUCUUUAGCCCGACUUAGGAGGCAGUCUCUAACCAGCUCUUGAGUGUACCCCAACAAAAAAAUCAAGCUUACUUCAAAUUUGGCUCAAAUUGUGAUAGUGGUCUUAUUCUCACCUUUGGGAUUGACACUAUACCUUAAGGUCUUAUCCAAACUCAAAAGGUCCCUGCAUUCAGAACCCUCUUGUUUGUAAGUCACCCUCAUUUGAACACACUCUGGAGGGAAGCCUCCUUUCUGCAGCAGAAUCCUCCAUGAACAUCAAAAUCACUGUGUUGGCUAGUUUUAUGUUAACCUGACACAAGCUAAAGUCAUCUGAGAGGAGGGAGCCUCAAUUGAGAAAAUGUCUCCAUAAUAUCCAGCUGUAAGACAUUUUCUUAAUGAGUGAUUGAUGGGGAAGGGCCCAGCCCAUGGUGGGUGAUUCUAUCCCUGGGCUAGUGGUCCUGGGUUCUAUAAGAAAGCAGGAUGAGCAAGCCAUGAGGAGCAAGCCAGUAAGCAGCACUCCUCUAUGACUUCUGCAUCAGGUCCUGCCUCCAGGCUCUUGCCCUGUUCGAGUUCCUGUCUUGAAUUCCUCUGAAGAUGAACAAUGAUAUGGAAGUGUAAGUCAAAUAAAUCUUUUCAUUCAUUCAA